CUUGUCUGUAGCCCUAUACUCCACUUUUGAUUUUGUCUUGUUUUAAUUAAUCAUUUCUUUAGAAGGCUUCUGUUUUUCUGUCAAGUAUCCGACGUGUUGAUUCACUGUUCAAUGAAUGUUUUCAGCUGCUGUAUUUUGACAGAUUUCAGAUUGGACACUUAAUGCUCUCAGAAAGACUCAUUAAACUGCCAUGCUCACCAGCAUUAUAGGGAAAUUGUCCUGAACCCUGAUUAAAAGAUCCUUGAAGAGCAGAUGUUGCAGGAGCUUGAGCUGUUUGUUUGAAAAAGUAGCCAGUAGUGGGUGGUAUCACUUUCUGUCCAUUUGUCACAUGUGUAUGGUAGCUGCACAGGACCAAAAACAAAACUUCACAGAGGUCAAAAUAUACAGGAGCAAAGUAACAUCACAAAUUUAACAACCUCUUCAACAUUACACUGAAAUAUAUUUCACUCUGUAUUGUAGCAAGUCAUACUAUCCAACAAUAAACAAACUUAUCAUGGAUAAACGGCGCUUACAGUCAGUGAUCAGACUAAUUCCUCUUCUUCUACUGAGUCUGAUGAACCACCAUGACGAGGUACUAAUAUUUACAUUAGAUAAUAAAUAAAGUGACUUAUAUAGAAAUGAUCAUAAAUUCAUUAUUUCUAAAACAUGAACAUGUACAGAAUCAGCAAAAUCUGUUUAAAACUCAUUUCAGCUCUAAGUUUGACUUUUCUCUGUCUAAUGCGUCUUCUCUGUCUUUAUGUCUCUCUUGUGUUUUGUGACGGCUCCUCUGCUUGGUGCUCUUUGCUGCUGUGGAGCUUUCUGUCUCCAGGGCUACAGACCUGUUUGGAGGGUCAUCAGCAGCAUGAGACACCUGGGCCAGAUCUCAACAGCGUCUUAUUGUGAAAGUCUGCUCCUGUUCCUGCCCUUCCUGCCUGUCCUGCUUCAUGACUCACUCCAGGUAACAGCUCACCUGUGUCGGAGCCUUUUCUCUCUUCGUCUUCAACACUUUGAAGAAGCUAUGAAAGUGUGUGUGAGUUGAGCAGCAUGAAUCGGUGUGAGGACAGAGAGGAGGGAGUCCCUCCCUCUAAAACCACUCUGUGUGGGGAACAUGACAGCCAGACCAAAGCUCAGAGGAUCCAUCAGAGACCAGACUCUGCUGGACCUGGACCUGGACCUGGACCUGAACCCAGCUGUGUGUCCUUAAAGAGUGACCAGUCUAUAUGUCGCUUCAUUAAUUUUAACCAACAGCAACCUUGUGCUCAAAAGAGGUAAACUGUACGCAUUUUUGCUAUCUAACAGCUUUCAUUUCACACUUGUAUCAUUUUACAAGGUUUUAGAACAUUUUUCAGGUCUGACCUUGUAAUAUUGUCAUUUAACUUCCACAUGACCAAGGUGCUUAUUUAGACAUGAGACAAACCAGCCUGUUCUCAUUCCCAAGUCGUCUAAUUCCACUGUCAAUCAGUGACUUCAGCAUCUGACAUCAAUGCAAAAAGGCACCUUUGGUGGUACAAUACUCUGACGGAUGGCGUCAGUU